UACGUUCCCGGGCCUUGUACACACCGCCCGUCAAGCCAUGGAAGCUGGGGGUGCCUGAAGUCGGUGACCGUCAAGGAGCUGCCUAGGGUAAAACUGGUAACUAGGGCUAAGUCGUAAACAAGGUACC
rnacentral:rRNA from 1 species